AAUACGAAGGGGGCUAGCGUUGUUUGGAAUUACUGGGCGUAGAGGGCGCGUAGGCGGUGUGUCAAGUCAGGCGUGAAAGCCCCGGGCUCAACCUGGGAACCGCGCUUGAGACUGGCACGCUCGAGUUCGGGAGAGGAUGGUGGAAUACCCAGUGUAGAGGUGAAAUUCGUAGAUAUUGGGAAGAACACCGAUGGCGAAGGCAGCCAUCUGGACCGACACUGACGCUGAGGCGCGAAAGCGUGGGGAGCAAACAGGA
rnacentral:rRNA from 1 species